rnacentral:lncRNA from 1 species
GCGGAGAUUUUGACUUUCUUCUUCUUAAAUCUUCAGACUUGAAGCGAACUGAUUUUAUGAGGUUUUGGGGAUAUUUGAGAAAAACUAAACGGGUUUCUGAGAUGAGGGGAACGGGUUUAUUCUAGUGGGUGAUUUUGGGAGAGAUUGGAGCUUGAUUGUUGGUAAAAUGGUGGUUUUAGGGUUGGAAGGUGUUACAGGGGAUUUGUACGAGGAAGAAGACCGAUGUUCUUUUAGGAUUAU